rnacentral:rRNA from 1 species
UACGUAGGGGGCAAGCGUUGUCCGGAUUUAUUGGGCGUAAAGAGCGUGUAGGCGGCUUUGCAAGUCCGUUGUGAAAACUCGAGGCUCACCUCGAGACGCCGGUGGAAACUGCAAAGCUAGAGUCCGGAAGAGGAGAGUGGAAUCCGAGGUGUAGCGGUGAAAUGCGUAGAUAUCUGGAGGAACACCGGUGGCGAAGGCGGCAUCCUGGACCGGUAGUUGGACGCUGAGGCGCGAAAGCCAGGGGAGCAAGCGGGG